CCAGAGGGGAAGAAGACAAGAGGAGGCUUCUAUGGACCUCACUCAACAAACCAAGACAAGUGGGGGUGGAUUCUGGAGUGGCCAGUUAAGCUGUGCACACGGUGGACCCUAUCAGGACCCUGGCAUAUGAACACUGGGUCAGCUGAGCCAGGACCUCCUCAGAGACUGGGAAGGCUAGAAGGCUGUCAGAGUUGACUGACUAUGGAAGGCUCGGCUCUCAUCGCAUCCCAACUAGACCCACAAUGUCCCUGCUCACUCAGCCCCAACACAAUAAAUGCCUGUGACA
rnacentral:lncRNA from 1 species